rnacentral:rRNA from 1 species
UGGGGAAUAUUGGACAAUGGGCGAAAGCCUGAUCCAGCCAUGCCGCGUGUGUGAAGAAGGUCUUCGGAUUGUAAAGCACUUUAAGUUGGGAGGAAGGGCAGUAAGCGAAUACCUUGCUGUUUUGACGUUACCGACAGAAUAAGCACCGGCUAACUCUGUGCCAGCAGCCGCGGUAAUACAGAGGGUGCAAGCGUUAAUCGGAAUUACUGGGCGUAAAGCGCGCGUAGGUGGUUCGUUAAGUUGAAUGUGAAAGCCCCGGGCUCAACCUGGGAACUGCAUCCAAAACUGGCGAGCUAGAGUAGGGCAGAGGGUGGUGGAAUUUCCUGUGUAGCGGUGAAAUGCGUAGAUAUAGGAAGGAACAACAGUGGCGAAGGCGACCACCUGGGCUCAUACUGACACUAAGGUGCGAAAGCGUGGGGAGCAAACAGG